GACAGAGGAUGCAAGUGUUAUCCGGAAUCACUGGGCGUAAAGCGUCUGUAGGUGGUUUAAUAAGUCAACUGUUAAAUCUUGAGGCUCAACCUCAAAAUCGCAGUCGAAACUAUUAGGCUAGAGUAUAGUAGGGGUAAAGGGAAUUUCCAGUGGAGCGGUGAAAUGCGUAGAGAUUGGAAAGAACACCGAUGGCGAAGGCACUUUACUGGGCUAUUACUAACACUCAGAGACGAAAGCUAGGGUAGCAAAUGGG
rnacentral:rRNA from 1 species